rnacentral:rRNA from 1 species
GUGAGGAAUAUUGGUCAAUGGACGAAAGUCUGAACCAGCCAUGCCGCGUGAAGGAUGAAGGCCCUCUGGGUUGUAAACUUCUUUUAUCUGGGACGAAAAAAGGGUAUUCUUACUCACUUGACGGUACCAGAGGAAUAAGCACCGGCUAACUCCGUGCCAGCAGCCGCGGUAAUACGGAGGGUGCAAGCGUUAUCCGGAUUCACUGGGUUUAAAGGGUGCGUAGGUGGGUAUUUAAGUCAGUGGUGAAAUCUCCGAGCUUAACUCGGAAACUGCCAUUGAUACUAUUUACCUUGAAUGCCCUGGAGGUAAGCGGAAUAUGUCAUGUAGCGGUGAAAUGCUUAGAUAUGACAUAGAACACCAAUUGCGAAGGCAGCUUACUACGGGGUGAUUGACACUGAGGCACGAAAGCGUGGGGAGCAAACAGGAUUAGAUACCCGUGUAGUCC